UUAAUUCUGAUGUGCCCGUGAAGCUUAUAUGUUCAACCGACAUAAUCAAAAAGGGAUUUUCGAGAGAUUAUUUGUAGAUAUGGAACUUUUUUUAAUUGAAAGUAGAUAGAAGCAAAUUGAGAAAAACCCACCUGCUAUAGUGCGGGUGUGACUUUUAAGUGUGACGACAUAUCGGAAAUACA
rnacentral:other from 1 species